GCUUCCUACGGGAGGCAGCAGUGGGGAAUAUUGGACAAUGGGGGCAACCCUGAUCCAGCAAUGCCGCGUGAGUGAUGAAGGCCUUAGGGUUGUAAAGCUCUUUUACCGAGGACGAUGAUGACGGUACUCGGAGAAUAAGCCCCGGCUAACUUCGUGCCAGCAGCCGCGGUAAUACGAAGGGGGCGAGCGUUGUUCGGAGUUACUGGGCGUAAAGGGCGCGUAGGCGGCGAACCAAGUUAGGCGUGAAAGCCCCGGGCUCAACCUGGGAAUAGCGCUUAAGACUGGUUUGCUCGAGUGCGGGAGAGGUGAGUGGAAUUCCCAGUGUAGAGGUGAAAUUCGUAGAUAUUGGGAAGAACACCAGUGGCGAAGGCGGCUCACUGGCCCGCAACUGACGCUGAGGCGCGAAAGCGUGGGGAGCAAACAGGAUUAGAUACCCUGGUAGUCCACGCUGUAAACGAUGAGUGCUAGACGUUGGGAGACUCGGUCUCUUGGUGUCGCAGCUAACGCAUGAAGCACUCCGCCUGGGGAGUACGGCCGCAAGGUUAAAACUCAAAGGAAUUGACGGAA
rnacentral:rRNA from 1 species